rnacentral:rRNA from 1 species
CAGUCGCCACGGUAAUACGAAGGGUGCAAGCGUUACUCGGAAUUACUGGGCGUAAAGCGUGCGCAGGCGGUUAUAUAAGACAGAUGUGAAAUCCCCGGGCUCAACCUGGGAACUGCAUUUGUGACUGUAUAGCUAGAGUACGGCAGAGGGGGAUGGAAUUCCGCGUGUAGCAGUGAAAUGCGUAGAUAUGCGGAGGAACACCGAUGGCGAAGGCAAUCCCCUGGGCCUGUACUGACGCUCAUGCACGAAAGCGUGGGGAGCAAACAGGAUUAGAUACCCGUGUAGUCCCUGUCUCUUAUAC